rnacentral:rRNA from 1 species
GAUGAACGCUGGCGGCGUGCUUAACACAUGCAAGUCGAACGGUGAAGGCGGAGCUUGCUCUGCUGGAUCAGUGGCGAACGGGUGAGUAACACGUGAGCAAUCCGCCCCUGACUCUGGGAUAAGCGCUGGAAACGGCGUCUAAUACUGGAUACGAGCUGCGAAGGCAUCUUCAGCAGCUGGAAAGAAUUUCGGUCAGGGAUGAGCUCGCGGCCUAUCAGCUUGUUGGUGAGGUAAUGGCUCACCAAGGCGUCGACGGGUAGCCGGCCUGAGAGGGUGACCGGCCACACUGGGACUGAGACACGGCCCAGACUCCUACGGGAGGCAGCAGUGGGGAAUAUUGCACAAUGGGCGAAAGCCUGAUGCAGCAACGCCGCGUGAGGGACGACGGCCCUCGGGUUGUAAACCUCUUUUAGCAGGGAAGAAGCGAAAGUGACGGUACCUGCAGAAAAAGCGCCGGCUAACUACGUG